rnacentral:rRNA from 1 species
AAGUAUAUAUAUAUAUUAAUUAUAUAGAAACUGCGAACGGCUCAUUAAAACAGUUAUAAUCUACUUGACAUUUUUUUAUAUAAGGAUAACUACGGAAAAUCUGUAGCUAAUACUUGAACGAUUGUAAUGUUUAAAUAUCUUUUAGAUGUUUUUACAUAUGCAUGUAUUUGUUAAUCCUAUAAGAAAAAAGUUAUUAAGUGAUGAAUUACAACAAAGAAGCAACACAUAAAUAAUACUCUAUUUUAUUUAGUGUGUAUCAAUCGAGUUUCUGACCUAUCAGCUUUUGAUGUUAAGGUAUUGGCCUAACAUGGCUAUGACGGGUAACGGGGAAUUAGAGUUCGAUUCCGGAGAGGGAGCCUGAGAAAUAGCUACCACAUCUAAGGAAGGCAGCAGGCGCGUAAAUUACCCAAUUCUAAAGAAGAGAGGUAGUGACAAGAAAUAACGAUGCAAAGCCAAAUUUUGGUUUUGCAAUUGGAAUGAUAGGAACUUAAAAACUUCCUAAAGAAACAAUUGGAGGGCAAGUCUGGUGCCAGCAGCCGCGGUAAUUCCAGCUCCAAUAGCGUAUAUUAAAAUUGUUGCAGUUAAAACGCUCGUAGUUUAAUAUCAAAGAAUCUAUUUUAAUAAGUAAUGCAAUAUCCAGAAUUUCAUUAAUAUAGUAUAGUACUUCGGUUCUAUAAUUGUAUUUAGUUAAUCUGUGGUAUAAUAUGCGUUCUUGUAAACAAAUAAGAUACUUUUUAAAAAUUCUUAAUUACAUAUUAAUUUAUAAUGUGAUUAGAAUUUUUGUUACUUUGAGUAAAUUAGAGUGUUCAAAGCAAACAGUUUAAAACAGCAAAACUGUGUUUGAAUACUACAGCAUGGAAUAACAUAAUUGAACAAGCUAAAGUAUGUUCUUUUUUCUUAUUUUUGGCUUAGUUAAGAUUAAUAGGAGUAGUUUGGGGACAUUCGUAUUCAGUAGUCAGAGGUGAAAUUCUUAGAUUUUCUGGAGACGAACAACUGCGAAAGCAUUUGUCUAAAAUAUGUUCAUUAAUCAAGAACGAAAGUUAAGGGAGUGAAGACGAUCAGAUACCGUCGUAAUCUUAACCAUAAACUAUGCCGACUAGGUGUUGGAUUAUAGAAUAAUAAAAUAAAAGAUACUCUUAAUGAAAUAAUUUUUAAGAGCUUUUAGAUUACUUCCUUCAGUACCUUAUGAGAAAUCAAAGUCUUUGGGUUCUGGGGCGAGUAUUCGCGCAAGCGAGAAAGUUAAAAGAAUUGACGGAAGGGCACCACCAGGCGUGGAGCUUGCGGCUUAAUUUGACUCAACACGGGAAAACUCACUAGUUUAAGACAAGAGUAGGAUUGACAGAUUGAUAGCUCUUUCUUGAUUUCUUGGAUGGUGAUGCAUGGCCGUUUUUAGUUCGUGAAUAUGAUUUGUCUGGUUAAUUCCGAUAACGAACGAGAUCUUAACCUGCUAAUUAGCGGUAUAUACUAUUUAUUCUUAUAUAAGAAAAAUAUAGAUUGGAUAAUAAAUAUAAUGGAUUAAAAAAAUAUGGAAUAUAUAUUUCAUAUAUUCUUAAUUUUUAAUAAUUAUUAUAUAUGUUAUUUUUGGUUUUUGUUCUUUUUAUGUAAGAACGUAUUUAUUCAAUUCUAAUGCUUCUUAGAGGAACAUUGUGUGUCUAACACAAGGAAGUUUGAGGCAACAACAGGUCUGUGAUGUCCUUAGAUAAACUAGGCUGCACGCGUGCUACAAUGAUAUAUAUAACGAGUUACUAAAAAGUAUACAGGUGUAUAGUUAUUUAUACUUAUACAUUUUGUAUAGUUUUCCUCCACUGAAAAGUGUAGGUAAUCUUUAUCAAUAUAUAUCGUGAUUGGGAUAGAUUAUUGCAAUUAUUAAUCUUGAACGAGGAAUGCCUUGUAAGCAUGAUUCAUUAGAUUGUGCUGACUACGUCCCUGCCCUUUGUACACACCGCCCGUCGCUCCUACCGAUCGAAAGAUAUGAUAAAUUGUUUGGACAAGAAAAACUAAAAUUUACAUUUCGUUUUUUUUAUGGAAAAACCGUAAAUCCUAUCUUUUAAAGGAAG